GAAGGAUCAUUGGUGUCAAUUUGAUGCAAGCAUGGUUUUCUUCUUGUGGAUGUCAGUCAUCCUGCACACUUUUGAAAUGCUUGGCAUUGUACCCCGUUUUAGUUAUCUUUCUAUUUUGAGAGCACCUAGACCACUUAUAAUGAUACGCUUCAUACGUGUCUUCCUCAAGUUUUCAAUGCCAAAGUCUAGGAUAAAUCAAAUUUUCAAACGAUCCAGCCAGCAAAUUUACAAUGUAACACUGUUUUCUUAUUCUUCAUGUCGCUUUAUGGCUUACUAGGAGUACAGUUCUUUGGAGAAUUGAAAAACCACUGUGUAUUGAAUGAAACAGAACCAAGGCACAUCACAAUAAACAGUUUGGCCAUACCUGACACAUUCUGUUCGACUGACCCUGAUUCAGGGUAUCAAUGUCCCACUGGAAUUAAAUGCAUGAAACUGGA